GUGCUCCCUUUGGCAGCACAAACACUAAAAUUGGACCGAUAGAAGAUUAGUACGGCCCCUGUGCAAGGAUGACAUGCAAAUUGGAGAACAGUUCCAUAUUUUU
rnacentral:snRNA from 1 species